CCUACGGGAUGCAGCAGUGGGGAAUAUUGCGCAAUGGGCGAAAGCCUGACGCAGCGACGCCGCGUGAGGGAUGAAGGUCUUCGGAUCGUAAACCUCUGUCAGCAGGGAAGAACGGUCACUGUGCUAAUCGGCAGUGAAUUGACGGUACCUGCAAAGGAAGCACCGGCUAACUCCGUGCCAGCAGCCGCGGUAAUACGGAGGGUGCGAGCGUUAAUCGGAAUUACUGGGCGUAAAGCGCUCGUAGGCGGUAUGUCAAGUCAAGGGUGAAAUCCCCGCGCUCAACGUGGGAACUGCCUUUGAAACUGGCAAACUGGAGUGUGUGAGAGGAUAGUGGAAUUCCAGGUGUAGGAGUGAAAGCCGUAGAUAUCUGGAGGAACAUCAGUGGCGAAGGCGACUAUCUGGCACAUAACUGACGCUGAGGAGCGAAAGCGUGGGUAGCAAACAGGAUUAGAUACCCUGGUAGUC
rnacentral:rRNA from 1 species